AACGGCUCCUCGUGUGGUGUCAUCCAGGCCAACUCCCCCAGGACGGAAACGUAGCAAGGGUAACCGGGCUCUGGCAGGUGCGCGAGGAGUCAUUAUU
rnacentral:SRP_RNA from 1 species